CAUCUACUCCCUCCGUUUCGAAUUACUUGUCGUAGGUAUGGGUGUAUCUAGAUGUAUUUUAGUUCUAGAUACAUCCAUUUCUGUGACGAGUAAUUUGGAACGGAGAGAGUAGAUG
rfam:Triticum urartu cultivar G1812 contig1069861, whole genome shotgun sequence.